AGAGUUUGAUCAUGGCUCAGAUUGAACGCUGGCGGCAUGCCUAACACAUGCAAGUCGAACGGUAACAGGUCUUCGGAUGCUGACGAGUGGCGGACGGGUGAGUAACGCGUAGGAAUCUGUCUUUGAGUGGGGGACAACCCAGGGAAACUUGGGCUAAUACCGCAUAAGCCCUGAGGGGGAAAGCGGGGGAUCUUCGGACCUCGCGCUGGAAGAGGAGCCUACGUCUGAUUAGCUAGUUGGUAGGGUAAAGGCCUACCAAGGCGACGAUCGGUAGCUGGUCUGAGAGGACGACCAGCCACACUGGGACUGAGACACGGCCCAGACUCCUACGGGAGGCAGCAGUGGGGAAUUUUUCGCAAUGGGGGCAACCCUGACGAAGCAAUGCCGCGUGAAUGAAGAAGGCCUUCGGGUUGUAAAGUUCUUUCGUGGAGGACGAAAAGGUGGGUGCUAAUAUCGCCUGCUGUUGACGUGAAUCCAAGAAGAA
rnacentral:rRNA from 1 species